rnacentral:lncRNA from 1 species
GGUGGUGGUGGAAUGGGUAACAUCAAUUAUUUCACUAAAGAGGUAAGUUCAUCAAUUCUGGCUUCUAGAGCCUUGUUGGAAGAAGAAACCCGAAUCUCAUUCACACAUUUUGCUUGGACCAUAAAAUUACCCCUUAUUAUGAACUGUUGGGAGUUAAAUGACAUGUUCCCAAUCAAGGAUUUGGCAGCAAUAGGAUAUUCAAUAUACAA